GACAGAGGAGCCAAGCGUUGUCCGGAUUGACUGGGCGUAAAGCGCACGCAGGCGGGUGCGCGCGUGGGGUGUGAAACCUGGCCGCUUAACGGCCAGCGGCCAUCCCAUACGGCGCGCCUGGAGCCUUGCAGAGGGCGGUGGAAUUCCGUGGUGUAGCGGUGAAAUGCGCAGAGUAAUCAGGAGGAACACCGGUGGCGAAGGCGGGUCUCUGGGCCGAGUGACUGACGCUGGAGGAGCGAAAGCGUGGGGAGCGAACAGGA
rnacentral:rRNA from 1 species